rnacentral:lncRNA from 1 species
UCUCUUUUGUCCCCAUUCAUCCCAGAAAGAACACACUCAUUUCCUCUCUAUGAAAUCCUAGCCCUGCAACCCUUCACACCUCAUCAAUCAAUAAAAACUCACCAUUAGCCAAGUUGACACAAAGUAAGAACAGCAAUCAGACCAUUGACCUGAGAACCACAAUUAUAAAAUCUCAUGAAUACAAAGAGCCUCAUCGGUGAUAAGAAACACAAUCCAACCUAACUCAUUAACCUGCCAAUUCACCAGCCACCCAAACAGUCAAACACUUCAGUCCAUAUCAACAGGUUCAAAACACUGAAUUAAACUUUCUUAUAACCUGGAAACACUAAAACCACCAUCACAAAUUGAACUAGAAACCAUAGAUGGUCUAGUAGUUUAACCGUUCGUAAGGCCGUCACAUUCAUCCGCUUGCGCCACCUACAGAUUUGAUCUCUGGUAUGCAUCAACAAAGAUACAACAAAACUACUAGAGAUUCUAUCUCCAGCAUAAUAAAAGGAAGAACCACUUAGCAUCCAAUGAUUCCGAUAGCAGCUUGCGUCUGCCUCUACUGCAUCUGUAACCACCUGGUCAUCACAUAAGAUUCACAUCAACAUAGAAAAGGCCAAAUGCCUCCAUAAUUACAAAGCAUCUACCUGUUCCCAGAACCAUCAAAGCAAAAAAGUGCAACAGCAUUUUCAAGUAUUGGAAUGAGAAUAAAUAGCAACGACAAGGUAAACAUGACAAAAUAAAAUAUAAAUUUAAUAGAAAAGGUCAAGAAAGAGGAUGUCUUCAUUGUUCCAGUUUGCGACAGCUAGGAAAAGAGGGAACAAAUAAUAGGACUUCAUAAAUAACCAAGCAAAACCCGACAUUACAGGACAGAAACAGACAGGCCAGCUUCACAGAACCAUGGAUGAAUAGCAUAAUGAACAUGACCAUCCAUGAGAGACAAAAGAAGAGAGAGCAACAGAGUUGUCCCUGUUUGUUUCAUAACUAUAGCUAUCCAGAUAUACUACCUGCAUAAGAGGGAAUGGGAUGACAUUUUACUGCUUAUCUGCCAUGCAAUUUCCUCAUAUUUUUUUUGUCAUCUUGAGAGGUCACUUGGCCAUCAUGACUUUGACAAACUCCUCAUAGUUGAUCUGGCCAUCACCAUCAACAUCAGCCUCACGAAUCAUUUCAUCAACUUCCUCAUCUGUUAGCUUUUCACCAAGGUUGGUCAUGACAUGGCGGAGCUCAGCAGCUGAGAUGAAGCCAUUUUGGUCCUUGUCAAACACUCGGAAGGCCUCCUUGAGUUCUUCCUCUGAGUCGGUAUCCUUCAUUUUGCGGGCCAUCAGGUUAAGGAAUUCUGGAAAGUCAAUAGUCCCAUUGCCAUCAGCAUCCACCUCAUUUAUCAUGUCCUGCAACUCUGCCUCAGUUGGAUUCUGCCCCAGUGACCGCAUCACAGUUCCCAGCUCCUUAGUCGUGAUGCAACCUGUUGAAAUUCCACCAAAACAAGCUGCACUUUAAUAUUUUAUUUCCCCUAUAAAUUUUGACACAUUGCAGAUACAGCAACUGCUAGCCUUCUAUUGCUUAUUACCAUCUAUUACAACAUUCAAAUAAGAAAUAAAAAUAAAAAAUAAAGACUACCACCUUUUGUUCUAUUUCCAAAGCAAUCCAUAACAAUUUGGGGUUGGAAAAUUCCAUACCAUAUUAACAUCUUAAAAUGAUUGCAAAUUAGCACACAUAAAACAUAGUGACAAAAUGUUUAAAAAAUAACAAAUCCACAGAUACAUCUUUCAGCAUGAACAGGUCACAUGAUGGAACAGCAAAAAUUCACAUCCAAUACCAGCAAGUGAUGAGUAUCAUAAUCCUUCACAAAGGAAACUAGCUUCUGUUUCAUAGGCCUACUGAAACGCUUCAAGAAAGGUUCUUCUAUUAUAAUGCAGCACACAGAAAGAUGAAUACUUGAGGUAAACUAGAUUUCUAGAAAAAACAUGAACAUGUGCUGAAGAAUGUUGAGAACUCUAACAAGGGAUUCCCCAUAUCAGUUGAAGAAUUGCAGGGACCCUGACUGCAAAUUAAACCAUUCAUCACUUACAGCUAAACUAUGACUCAAUUCAAUUAACUAUUAUGGCCUAGCUAGGUGAUUGCUGUACUAAGGAUCUGUGAUUCCAUCAAUUUAACUAUUUUGGCAUAACGGCUUAGAAAUAACAGGUAAAGAAUGAUAAACUUGGCAUCCAAAUAGUCCCAAUAUACGAACAAAAAAAUUGCUUCUCAAUUUGCAAUUAAAUCUAUUAAACCAUGCAAACACCCCAAGGCAUGAAUGCCUAACUACAUCCAGUCCUAAAUAAUUAGCUUCACUACAAAAAGAUACUUUCCCACACGAGCCAAUCACUAUUCAAAAUGACCCACACCCUCAGGGGCUGUUUGAAUGAUUAGACUGAAAAUCCUAUUAGAUUCAUGGGGUUGGGCCAGUACAACCAGCAACAUCAUAGGAUUACAAGAUGGGCUAGGCCUAUAAUCAUAGACACCCAGAAAUAGUUUUGGAGUGGGCCUGAAUCCUAUAUUCAUAGGAUUGGGCUGAGGUCCUUGUUAUCUCCCAGUGAGAUUCAGGCCAGCCCACUUCAAAAUUAUUUCCAGAUAUCUAUGAAUAUAGGCCUAGCCCAGCUUGUCAUCCUAUGAUCUUGCUAGUUGUACUGGUCCAACCCACAAAUCCAAUAGGAUUUUCAGCCCAAUCAUCCAAACAAGCCCUUAGGCAUCCAAAAGUCCAAUAAAGCACAAUGAGAAGUGAGAUAAAAAGGAGUUCUUUGAUCACUCAAUAGCUAACAUGCAUGCAUGAUCAAUGUGCCAACUCCAACAUCUAACAUAUGGGAAAUAGGCCACUUAUUUCUAAGUAAUUAACAUCAACUACAAAUGAAUAGCCAAAUUGAUUUAAAGACUUCAGGUAGUUCUUCUCGAAAUAUAUACCUUAAUUGGCCUUUUCCAAGCAUGAAAGCCAUCAAACAUGUAAAGCUACAAACGAUUCACAACCAAGCAGUAAAUGCUGUGCUUCUGCCAACAAACACUGGACACAGAUAUAGCUAGAUCAAAAAAAGUUUGAAACUUUUGCCAGGGAGCCAAAAAAAGGCUUCCAGUGAGAAUUUCCAUUAGGUAAAGCUGUCUUUGUCAAACUUUUUAUGAAUUUUAUGUAAUAUCAAGUAGAAAUUGUCAUGGAUUAUGAAAUCUAGAACAAUAUCAUCCUAGCAAUCUUACAGUACCUCAGCAAUCAGCUAACACUCAUGAUAGAUUUGGUACAACAGAGAACUUUCUAGUCAUGAAUCACCUCUUCUACCACAAGCCCAGGUUAUCCUACACCAAUCAUCUAGUGUUUGAGCAACAUCCAGUAGCUGUAUAAAGGUAUAUUGGAAAAACUAAAUGUUUCCCAUCCACUGAUCCCAGAUGCACACUCUACAUCUAACAUUUUGUUACAUUUUAUAUCAUACUGCAUUCACAUAGAACAGCAUCAGUUGGUCUACAAUUUUCUGCUUGAUCUUUAAGCCUGCAAAGAUGCUCAAAAAUCAAAUAUAAAGCUACCUUCUCAUUAAAUGGAGGGAACAAGUCCGGUUAGGAUUGGUCCAUAUUGCUUUAGAACUAAGAUUCCCAAUUGGUUAUCAUGAUUAUUAAAUGUGAACAAUGCACGUGCCUACUCAAACCUUAUUCAGAAAAGCAUUUACUUGUCAAAAUAUUUGCAACAGUUCCUUGCUUUUCUUCCCUGACAGGGUUAAAACUAUACAACUGUCAGAGCCCUACUCAUCAACCCUAUGGCUUCAAGGCAGAAAGUUGUUGCAACACGUAUAUUAUUCUACCUGAAACUCCCAUAAAUUUCUUGCAUUUGACAGACCAGAUAAAAGCACUGAUUUGCAACAAUUUUGAAUAAUCAAUAAAUGCAUAAGCAGAAUUAGUUCAUCUUUCAUUAUAAAGAAAUUCAACCAAAAAAAACCUACGGGAAGGGUUUUGGGAAAAAGCAGCAUUCUGAAAACUUUUUGACAUUUCAAGAAUGUGUGCAUUUCAAAAUAUCCAACUUUUAUAUUAAGCACUAGGCUAAACAAGUUUGCUGCACCUGACUCAUCUCCUGCUGUUUCCUAUUAAACUUAAUUCUCAUCCAGUUAUUCAGUGUUCUUCUGAAGUAGAGAGAACAAAAAUGGCAACUGCAGUGAAACUAACACACACAGAGAGAGAGAGAGAGAGAGAGAGCUGCUAUGAGGACUAGCAGCUAAGAAAUGUGAUCAACUCACUGAUAACAGCUUGUAAUGCAUGCACAUCCAUGCUGGCAUUAGACCAACAAGAGCAUCUGAUUUCUUACUUCUUAAUAUUAAAUAGCAAGGUGUUGAAAAUUCCACAAGACAACAUGUUAGCAAAUCUAAGAUGGCCAGUCCCUCAAAUGUUCAUUAGUAGAAUGACUGAACAUAUGCACAUGACAAAAAAAAAAGAUCGACAGGAGGAUCCAUUUUCUGAUAAAAAUGUGAUGUAUAUUCAAGUCUUAACUUUGGCAAAUAUUAGAAAACCAGUUCAUGCCUGGAUUUGUUAACGCAUAAUUCAGAAAGUAGUGCCAGUGAAUGAGUCCAUCAAUGACCAUCAAUUGGUCAGUUUUUUCCCUUUUUUUUGUCAAUGUCUGCCUUUAUUUUGUUUUCACUUUUUGCAAUUACAAAGUAAAUGGAUAACUCAUAUAGUGAGGACAAUCAUGCAUCUAGAAUUGCCAUCUAAACUCAUCCCAUUUCAUUAGAUCCAAGACAUUUCCAAAGGAUGAAGCGGAUAUGUACACUUCCAAUAGGAUAUCAUUCUUCAACAAGAAUCCAUACUUGGGAAUUUUCUCUCAUCUAUUCAAGACUAGACCCAAUUUUUAUCUAAAUGGGUUGAGUUCGAGCUAAACCUUUAAUCUUACUUGAGGUUAGCUCUAAGUCUGACCAGAUCUAAAUAUUUCAUUCUAAAUAGGUUUAGACCACUAAAAUAUUUCAUCUUCACAUGACACAAAAGAAGGGGAAACUCUCCAGCAUAUGAUUGUCAAAAGUCAAAUAAAUCAGUUGCUUAAUAUAGCUCAUGAAUAAUGUUGAACACCAAAAAAAAAUUAUCAAAUAAAUCAGACAUUGGAGGCCUCUCCAAACUCUUUCCAAAAGGAGAGAGACAAACAAUGAGACCAAAGUAUUGGAUUCAUAACAUCAUGCAUUGGGACACUGAAUGAUUUCACAAGGUGACAUGCUGGACAACAAAACUAAGAUAGCCAAACUCCUUGCAGAAUGAACACACAACAGCAUCAUAAACCUUAACAUAAUACAUUCUCUACAAAGAAUGUUGCUAUGUGGGAAUUCAUUGAUAUCUACUUACAGAUAUGUUUACUUUUCUAGUUUUCUGUUUUUGUAUACUACUCGUACUGGUUUAGUUCAUUGAUGCAUUAAGUCAACCCAAUCUAAAGUAAAUUAUAAUCAUGACAUGCCAUAUCAGUCUCCUUGACUAGUUAACAAAUCAUAACUACCAAAUUUCUAUGUAAUAAAAUAUUCCAAACCAAGGUUGGCCAUCGCGAUACUAGGUCCCAUAUUGGCACCGUGUUGGUAUAGUGUGAGUACACCCAGUAAAGAGUCAGUUCAACAUACCUAGGCUCAACAUGGCCCUGUAUUGAGUCUUGGUUAGGUACCAACAUGGCACAGUGCAUCCGAUAUGGGACAAACCAGUAUGAUGAACCUGAUUCCAAACUAUCAAUAAAAUAAAAAUGAUCUUUAGAACAUAAGAUAGCUCCCCACUGAAAAAAAAAAAAAAAGAUUGAAGUAGCAACCAUCAACAACUAAACUAACUCACUAUUGCUCCUAACAGAAGGUUGGACUUGUAAACUAGAAACUUACACAAGCCUAACUUUUACAUUAUUUGAGCCCAAUCCGACCAAUUAUUUGAUGGAUUGAGUUUGAGCUCAAACCCAAUCUACUUAGAUCUAGAUCUAGAUUCUAAUCAAAGUUAGAUUCAUCGAGAUCACUCUAUCCAAUUUUUCCAUCCAUGGGGUGCAAGAUUUCUUCACCAUCAGCAAGAAUCCACAAAUAAAUGGUCCCUUCAACAGAAUUUCAGUCACAACUUCAUGUUGAAUAUAAUCCAUGUCUUUGGCCUCAAGGGUUCUUGUUAUGUGAAAUUAAUAAGAGGCAUUUAAGAUCCCCAAAAUUAUCAUAAGUGAUUUAAAAACAAUAAAAGAAAAAAAAGCAAUAUACAUGGAGAUAUUUCGCUUUACUUGUUUCCCUCCUUUAGAAACUGAAAGAAAUGUUUUAAUUAGUAUGCCAUUCCACCUCCAUAAAUGAACCCCCACACAUCAAGCCUUCAAUGUAUGGAUGGAUCCAACUAAGUGACAAAUUUUUGCAUCAAGCAUUCCUCAUUCCCCUUGUCUAGUGCAGUGAUGUCAAAGGCGCCAAAAGGCACGCCUCAGAUGCUCAGGCGAGGCGCACGAAGGGGUCAUCGCCCCUUGAUGCUUCAAGCGAUGCCCCCUCAUUCAUGCACACGCCUUUGGUAUCUUGUAGGACCUUUAUCAGUGAGACGAGACACUUGUCUUUGGCACCUCAGUAACACUAUGAUUAUUUUUUUUUUAAUGGCUGAAAAGUAUAAAAAAUCCAAAAGACCACCCAUUUAACUUCUCAGCUCUAUUACUCAGCUCUAUUACUAACAGGGGAUAAAAUGAUCAAUUAGUAUGGCAAAGUUAGUCUUGAAGAGAUAGAGACUGAUUCAAAUGAGACAGAAGAAGAUGUUGAAGGAUAUCAAUCCACUGAAAGAGGAGAAGAUGAAAGUGAUGACAACUAUGUAAGUAGAACUGAAUCUGAUGAUUCCAUUGAUGAACUUCAGGCUUUAGGGUUGUUUAUCAUUUUUGUUUCAUUUAUAUGAUUCACUUUAAAACUGUUUACGUUUCUUGUUUUAUUUAUGAGACCCAUUGAUGAACUUUAGGAUUUGUUAUAUUUUUCAUUUCAUUCAUGAAUUUAGAGCUGCCUAUAGCUUGUUAUCAUAUACUUUAUCUGGAACUAGUUAAGCAUUUUACUGAUUUAUUUAUGUUUUAUGCUUAAAUUAUUGAUUAUGUGAUAAUUCAGAUUAUAAUAGUUCUCUAGUUGUUAUUUAUUUAUAUAUCAUAUUUUUUACUUUUUUUUUUAAGUUUAGUGCCUUACUUCACUCGGACGAGCGCUUUUCUAGCACCUCUCGCCUCAAGACGCUAGACCCCCCAAGUGCCUUAAGGACGCCUUUCGUCUUUGACUACCUUGGUCUAGUGUAUCCAAUAACAACAUCCAUAGAAGUAUCUAAGGUGGUGGCAAAGUUUACAAGUUUCGAUACAAGACAUAUUGAAGGAGUAAUCUUUGGAUGCCCCCACCCAUAGCAUCUCAAGAUUCUUUUUGCCAACAUGACAAUAGAGGAUUGGCAUAGUUCCCAAGGUUUGGCAUCAAUCGUAAGUGGACCAACAAAUCACGUCCCUGCAACACCACAUUAGCACUGCGAGAUAAGAAAAAAUACGAGCAGGAUGUCAUAGCUAUUUCCCUCAAAAUUAGAAACUCGGGCUAAAUCAAGAGGAAACAAUUCAAUGAUUAACCAACCAUUAUGCCAAAAAAGGGCAAUGUUAUCAUGAACAAGGUGGUAUUUAGAAGGAUCCCCAAUCUUUAGGAUCUAAAUCUCCACCAAUCAACACAAUAUCAAUGCUCCAAGCAAGCAAUAUGAUCACUACUAAAACAUGUUGUUGAUGCCCAAUACCCGAAGUGUUGGAGUUAGGCUAUUUGGUAAAUGAAGAUUCGUUGGCUCAGACGAAGCUAGUAUGCUUAGCAUGAGGUCCAACCUACAAACAAAAGGAACCAUCAAAGAUUGUUGGAAUUACUCCGACAAGAGAUGCUUCGAUGCUUAAGUCAUGCAAAAUUUUGGUGGAACUAAGGAUAUCUAAAAGUAUGAGGAAUGAGCUAAAAGCAAGGUGAAAUUCCUUUACCUAGGAUCCCAAGCUUGAUUUUUCUAUAGAGGAGAGUAAGAGUUUGCUGCAAUUGGUCACAUGAUCUUCCAAGCCGUUACACCCCUUCCUUAUUUGUCGUCCUAGGUAGUUGUGUUCUUCCUUACCUGGCGUCUCAAGGUCAUGUCGAGCUGUUACCACCUACGCUAUUAGCCUAGAGGUUCGCUUGGUCAUGGAUUGCGUGCACCAUGUAUUGCUCAGCCAUUGGUCGAUCGAGUUGGUAGGUGCAAUUUCUUGUCCAAGCCAGAGAACAUGGCUCGAGAUUGGAAGUGGGAGACAAAUGAUAUGGCCCAAAUUCAACGUCAACUAAAUCGCACCUACUAGCUCAAACGUGGUGCAUGCAAUCAACUACAGAGCGAACCUUCAAGUGAAUAAGGUGGACAAGGGUGUAACAGCACAUUCGGAGAUCACACGACUAGAUCACGACAGACUCUUACCCUCUUCUAUAAACCAAGCUUGGGAAUCGAAUUUCACCUCAUUUUUAGUUCAUUCCUCUCUUUUGUUCCACCAAAAUUCUUCCUAACUUAAGCAUUGAAGGGCCUCCUACCACAGCAACUCCAGCAACCUUCGAUAGCCUCUUUGGUUCUUAAGUCAAACCUCACACCGAGCAAACCAGCUUCAUCUAGGCCAACCAAUCUUCAUUUGCCAAAUAGCCUAACUCCAUUAGGUUUGGUUUUGUACAGCAACAUAUGUAUCAUCAUGUCACUGCUUUACCCUGGAG